CGUAAGGAGAGAGAUUAUAGAGCGGGCGUUAUUCUCUUCGUCCGGCUGUAGCGCAUCAUACGAGGAGAAAACGCCUCCUUCCAGCCCGCACCCAGCAAGAAGCCGACGUUCUAUCUCCCGUAUCAAUUUCUUCCCGAUCCUGUGCUCCCCUUCCCCUUCCCGGCGCCAAAUCCACCAUGCCCUUCCUGCCAAAUCGAUUCCUCCCGCGCAAAAUCGAUUCCUCGUGCGCUAAAUCGAAGGAUUUAAGCCCCAAAUCUUCCCCAAUCGUCACCUCUCCCAAACCCUAGCCGUCAUAUCCAACAACCGGUGAGAUGAGUGGGAGGUCCAAGAGAGCUUCUGCGCUAGCGCCCAUAGGGAUUCCGUUGCCGCUAGUUCAGUCUGGUCAGCCCGCAACGACUCAUCCUGCUCCUCCGCCGCCCAUCGCUUCCAUGUUUGGAUCUGGUGUAUGGUGCCUGCCCUCGCCCACCGCAGUCUAUGCAUCCCUCGUCGGCACCAUGCUGGCUAACAGGCGUACAACAACCGAGCAUAUCAAGCUCGUCGGCUCAAGGCCAUUGGUGGGCAGCUCCUGGCGUUGGUGCUUCAGCAUAUCCUUGGUCUGGGCGUAAUAAUCGUGAGGAGUCUGAUGUGCAAGAAUGGGGAUUAGAUUUUCACCCUCCUGGUGGCCUACUAAAUAUUUUGAAUAACACACCACAAGCUGUGAGCAAUGGGAAUUCGUCACAAACAAUACAUAUUGAUGAUGACAACAAUGAUGUCAAUUGCUCUAGGACUGAAAAACUCUUGACAUGGACAAAACCAGAGGAUCUUAGAUUGGUCAGUGCUUGGCUGCAUAAUUCAAAUGAUCCAAUCCAAUCCAAUUUUAAAAAGAAUGAUCAGCAUUGAAAAGGUGUUGCUGAUGUAUUUAAUAGAACCACCCCAAAAAACCGAGUCAGGACAGCUAAGCAAAUAAAGGAUCACUUUGGAAGAAUGAAGAAAAGGGUUGCUUGGUUUUGUGGUAACUGGAAGGAGGCCAAUGCUAUAUGGGGUAGUGGUGAAUCUGAAGAGGAUGUAAUGAAGAAGGCACUGCAAAGUUAUGAAGAAGACCACAAAAAAGAUGGGCCAUUCAUGUUUAUGCAUUGUUGGGAAGUUUUUUUCAAGGAACAAAAAUGGGAAGCCUAUUUGGAACGCCUAGAAGACCUCGAGCCAGAUAAAAGAAAGUUCUGUGAAGAGGAUGAUGUGGGGAAAUGUUUCUCUUUAGAUGAUGAUGCUGAUGAGCGGCCAAUAGGAGGCAAGCAAGCUAAGGAGCAGCGCAGGAAGAAGAAAAAGGGCCAGCCGUGUCUAAUAGAUCUUGAAGAUGAUCUUAACAACUUUUUGGAUGCUUCAAAAACAACAAAUGAAGGGCGCAAAGAGAUGCUAGAGACACAAAGGCGUGUGUCUAGUGAGAAUCUUGAAGCUCGGAAGCUUGCGCACCUUGCAGCAAAAGAGCACACUGAGUCUGUCAUGGUAGAAACAUAUCGAGCGCUAUUGAUGAAAGAGACAACAAGUAUGCCUGAAGAUGUGAGAUCUGAGCAUGUAUUGGCACUAAAGUGUUUGAGGGAGAAGCUAUUUAACAAAAAUGACUAAGGUUACAAAAAAUUUCAAGUUUGGGCACAAGGUGACUUUAGGUGUGGAGGAUGAAGUCGCCAUUGCUCUGCUAAAACUGACCACUGAACUGGGCAUGGCGUGCUAGAAGCUGCAGAUGCUAUUUGUAGUGUUGUCACUUUUGGUGCAAACGAGCUGCCUGCUGCAUUCUACCGAAGAUCACUUAUCAACUUUGGCUUCAUGGUUCUAUCAUUGUCGUUUAGUAUUGCUUGUUUACUAAAUGAUGACCUGUGCGCCAACAAACUUGUUUAGUAUUGCUUUUAGUUAAUGGUCUGUGUGCCAGCGAACUUAUUUGGAUUGUUGCUUGAAAUUUAUCAUCCAUCUGGUAUUGUUUUUUUAUUAUGUUGUUUAGUAAAAUAGUAUGGACGUGCAUAUUUGUUUUUUAGUUGAAUGAGCACAUAUAUCUGGCCACAAAAAUGUGAUCACAACAGAUGUAUGUAUACAUGUGAACAUUAAAUGAUUCUAAUCUGUGCUGCAGCCUAGCAAAUAGCUAGCUUGUUGUAUGAGUUGGCUGUAUAGCAGGCUGUAUAUGACAUGGCAUGGACUUACAGCCAGCAGCAGGCUAAAUUAUUAGACUUGCUCUAACAGCUUCUAGUUGCUCAAUUCAGGGUGGUUGAAAUCUCAACUUCUGCAUGCAUGCAGGGAAGAGGAGACGGCAGCUCACGCGGUUUAAUGAUGCAUGCACGCGGGAGGGUAGAAUGGUCCAAAACGGACUAGAAAACUCAAAAUGAACUCAGCAUUUUGCCAAGACGACCUGUAUUCCAGAAUCGAAGGGAGUACGUGUUAAUACAGUUUGGAAAAAAUCCAAACACUGAACUAAAUUUUCUAAAAUAAUUGAUAUU